AAUGAACGCUGGCGGCGUGGUUUAGGCAUGCAAGUCGCACGGGCAGUAGCAAUAUUGCUAGUGGCGACCUGGUCAGUACAAGUUGGGUUACGUGCCUGGAAGUGGGGGAUAACUCCGAGAAAUCGGGGCUAAUACCGCAUGUGGAGGAAACUCCAAAGCAGCAAUGCGCUUCCGGAUCGGCCCGACUCCCAUUAGCUAGUUGGCGAGGUAAAGGCUCACCAAGGCUACGAUGGGUAGGUGGUGUGAGAGCAUGGACGCCGACACGAGGACUGAGAUACGGCCUCGACUCCUACGGGGGGCAGCAGUCUAGAAGCUUCGACAAUA
rnacentral:rRNA from 1 species